GAGGGUAUAGUUCAAGUGGUAGAGCGCUUGCUUAACACUCAUGAGGUCCUGGGUUCAAUCCCCAGUACCUCCA
rnacentral:tRNA from 1 species